AUAGAAGGAGAAGACGUGGAGCCUUAUGGAGGGAGUGACUGCUACCUCAAAUGGCUCCGGGUGGCAGUGGAGAGGACACAAAGGCGUUCCAGUUGCAGACCUGGAUAUUCUUCUGCUAGGACAGUGAGUCUAGUGACAUUGGAACCAGGGUGUCUGCCAAAGCCAGCUCUGUCCUUGCUGCUUCCCCACUCUCUGGUGACAGCUAGCUCUGCUUCUGUGAAACAACAGGCUACGAUAAUACACGGAGGAGAAUCUUCUCACUGUGGGAUACAAGCAACAUUGAAACAUUGAAACCUUCAAGAACAAAGCACCAAGGACAGUUAUAAGAAACCCUGGGAGCCAUGGGAGACUAUUUGCCAUAGACUCUUGAAGUUUCAGCACUGGAAAAAGUCACACGUAAAAUAAAAAAGGAAACAUCUUUACCACAAAA
rnacentral:lncRNA from 1 species